rnacentral:lncRNA from 1 species
CAAUCACACUGCUAUGGUCACAGACUUGUAGACUCAACUUCUCAAAUCUCAUAGGAUUACUUCUCUUUAUCAAGGUCAAUAGAUUCCAUCUAGAUGCAUACCUUACUUGAUAGCUCAACCAACUGAAGUCAACAUCCAUUACAAAAACUCAUGAUUGAGUCAAUGCUUAUGUAUAGUCAAAUUAUAGCAGUCUUAUUGUGAGCAACUAUAACACCAC